rnacentral:tRNA from 1 species
GCGGGAUUAGUAUAGUGGUAGUACACGACCCUUCCAAGGUUGUAGCGCCGGUUCGAGUCCGGUAUCCCGCU